rnacentral:lncRNA from 1 species
UCUUUUGCGUCGAUUCUCGCAGAGUUUUCUUUGCUGGAUCUGAAGCUUAUUGGGUUCGUCUUGCACCACCUUGGAAGCGUGCCGAAGGGCAAUUUCAUUUCUAGGAUAGUGCUCUGCACAUCUCGAUCCACAGUCCUUUUCUAUUCCUUAUUUUUAUAGUAUUUUUGUUUAAUUUCGUUUUAAAAUUUUUCUAAAACUGAAAUUAAACUUUCAAGUUAUUUUUAAAAGAAUAUUAUAAUAAAAUAUCAGAAAAAUAUUUUCAACAAUUUUCAUACUGACAAACGGGUUGGACAACUCACGAACCUACUUAUAAGCCUAUCUAUGUACCUACUACGGAUACAUAUUAGCUGUGAAAACCAAAAACAAUAUA